GACAGAGGGUGCGAACGUUGUUCGGAAUUACUGGGCGUAAAGCGCGUGUAGGCGGCUUUGCAAGUCGGAUGUGAAAUCCCACGGCUCAACCGUGGAAGUGCAUUCGAAACUGCAAGGCUAGAGUCCUGGAGAGGAAGGUGGAAUGCUUGGUGUAGAGGUGAAAUUCGUAGAUAUUAGGAAGAACACCAGUGGCGAAGGCGGCUCACUGGCCCGGUACUGACGCUCAGGUGCGAAAGCGUGGGGAGCAAACAGG
rnacentral:rRNA from 1 species